CAGCAGGGAAUACUGUCAUUUCCUUCUAAAAUAUUUUAAGACAAUUCAAAACAUUUGUAACAUUACAGUAGGUGAUUGCAAGGACCUGUGAGUUGCAGUAAUUGAGGUAAUUAAAGCUUGUAGUACUUGUCAUAACUGAGAAGGUGUGGGAAAGUAAGGUAAUCCACCUUGCUGUC